GACGAACGCUGGCGGCGUGCCUAAUACAUGCAAGUAGAACGCUGAAGGAGGAGCUUGCUUCUCUGGAUGAGUUGCGAACGGGUGAGUAACGCGUAGGUAACCUGCCUGGUAGCGGGGGAUAACUAUUGGAAACGAUAGCUAAUACCGCAUAAUAGUAGAUGUUGCAUGACAUUUGCUUAAAAGGUGCAAUUGCAUCACUACCAGAUGGACCUGCGUUGUAUUAGCUAGUUGGUGAGGUAACGGCUCACCAAGGCGACGAUACAUAGCCGACCUGAGAGGGUGAUCGGCCACACUGGGACUGAGACACGGCCCAGACUCCUACGGGAGGAAGCAGUAGGGAAGCUUCGGCAAUGGACGGAAGUCUGACCGAGCAACGCCGCGUGAGUGAAGAAGGUUUUCGGAUCGUAAAGCUCUGUUGUAAGAGAAGAACGAGUGUGAGAGUGGAAAGUUCACACUGUGACGGUAUCUUACCAGAAAGGGACGGCUAACUACGUG
rnacentral:rRNA from 1 species